CCCACAUGCAUUUGUUCUACCCACAUAUUAAUUGCACGCGUAAAUACCUCUCCAGUGGUAAAAAGGGGAUUAGUAAAAGAAACUGAGAAAAUAACAAAUACAACAAGUGAUCAAUUUUGUAUGCUGGUACACAAGAUGCUUUAACACUGGAUGUUUUCAUUGCAUGGUUAACCUGUAGUGGCUGCCAGGUCCACUAUUUACAUCAGAUGGCCUCAGAGAGACCAUGUGAUUGGCACAUCAUGGCAUUUUGCAGUGCAUGCGCACUAACCUCC